rnacentral:rRNA from 1 species
UACGUAGGGGGCUAGCGUUGUCCGGAAUCAUUGGGCGUAAAGAGCGUGUAGGCGGCCCGGUAAGUCCGCUGUAAAAGUCAAAGGCUCAACCUUUGAAUGUCAGUGGAUACUGCCGGGCUAGAGUCCGGAAGAGGCGAGUGGAACUCCUGGUGUAGCGGUGGAAUGCGCAGAGAUCCGGAAGAACACCGGUGGCGAAGGCGGGUCUCUGGACAGUUCCUGACGCUGAGGCACGAAGGUCAGGGGAGCAAACGGG